rnacentral:rRNA from 1 species
UACGUAGGGGGCAAGCGUUGUCCGGAUUUAUUGGUCGUAAAGAGCGUGUAGGCGGCCAAGUAAGUCUGCUGUGAAAACUCGAGGCUUAACCUCGAGCUGUCGGCGGAAACUAUUUGGCUAGAGUCCGGAAGAGGAGAAUGGAAUUCCCGGUGUAGCGGUGAAAUGCGCAGAUAUCGGGAAGAACACCCGUGGCGAAGGCGGUUCUCUGGGACGGUACUGACGCUGAGACGCGAAAGCGUGGGGAGCGAACAGG